rnacentral:rRNA from 1 species
GACGGGGGAGGCAAGCGUUAUCCGGAAUGACUGGGCGUAAAGCGUCUGUAGGUGGUGAAGCAAGUCAGUGGUUAAAAACUGGGGCUUAACGGCUGGAAGGCCGGUGAAACUGAAUGGCUAGAGUAUGAGAGAGGUAGAGGGAAUUCCCGGUGUAGCGGUGAAAUGCGUAGAGACCGGGAAGAACAUCGGAGGCGAAAGCGUUCUGCUGGGACACAACUGACACUGAGGGACGAAAGCUAGGGGAGCGAAUGGG